CAUCACACGCGUUCCACCCUCUGCUAGGUUUUCCCUUUUUCCGCCUCACACGUCCAAACAUUCUUCAUUUUUAAACAACAACGCAUCUAGGGUUUCCCUUUUCUCUCAUAAUGCGUUGUGCCAACCGUCCACACCUUCACGCGUCUCACCUGUCUUUGUAGACUUUCUGAUUUGUAUCACAAAUCAUUAGGGUUAGCCUUUCAUCUUUGCCGUUUGGAUCUAUGUUAGACGACAUCCACUUUCUUCUCUUCCAUUUUCUUUCCGGUUGCCUUCCCUAUCUAUAAAAGGCAAACCAUUCCUUUGUAAAGCUUAGCUUAGAUAAAUGAGAUGAGGUUUUAACCCAUAUUUGUCGGCUCACACCCCCUCUUUAGUCAAGGAAUCGUUCUCCUAGGGUUUCCCAAGCCACCGUGAGUGUGCGAGGUUUCGACCGGAACGACAGAUCUUCCAGUAUUCCGCCGAUAAUCUACGCUUGGAUCGACGAUUGGAGGCUGAGUGGUUUAGAUUCCGAUGAAUCUGUAUGAUGUUGGCUCCAUCAUUUUGAUCAUGUUGCUGGUGGAUCUAGUGAGGCAUAGAGUCGGAGCGGGGCUAGUCUGGGGAGAAGAGUUUUAUUAGAGUUUUUAUAUUUUUUAUGAUUUCAAAUACAUUGUAAUCAUUUAUAUUACUAGACUUUUCGAUAAUUAUAAUAGUAUUUAUAAUUA